rnacentral:rRNA from 1 species
GACGAACCGUGCGAACGUUGUUCGGAAUCACUGGGCUUAAAGGGCGCGUAGGCGGGUUUGCAAGUCUGCGGUGAAAGCCCCCAGCUUAACUGGGGAAGUGCCGUGGAUACUGCGGACCUUGAGGAGGGUAGGGGCAUCUGGAACAUUGGGGUGGAGCGGUGAAAUGCGUUGAUAUCCAAUGGAACUCCGGUGGCGAAGGCGAGGUGCUGGACCCUUUCUGACGCUGAGGCGCGAAAGCCAGGGGAGCAAACGGGG